rnacentral:rRNA from 1 species
UACGAAGGGGGCUAGCGUUGUUCGGAAUCACUGGGCGUAAAGGGCGCGUAGGCGGCUUUAUAAGUCGGGGGUGAAAGCCUGUGGCUCAACCACAGAAUUGCCUUCGAUACUGUAGAGCUUGAGACCGGAAGAGGUAAGUGGAACUGCGAGUGUAGAGGUGAAAUUCGUAGAUAUUCGCAAGAACACCAGUGGCGAAGGCGGCUCACUGGCCCGUUACUGACGCUGAGGCACGAAAGCGUGGGGAGCAAACAGG